rnacentral:rRNA from 1 species
CACGUAGGGUGCAAGCGUUGUCCGGAUUCAUUGGGCGUAAAGGGCUAGUAGGCGGCUUAGCAAGUCGGGUGUGAAAACUGGAGGCUCAACCUUCAGAGGUCGACCGAAACCCCCUGGCUAGAGUCCGGGAGAGGAGAGUGGAAUUCCUGGUGUAGCGGUGAAAUGCGCAGAUAUCAGGAAGAACACCCGUGGCGAAAGCGGCUCUCUGGAACGGUACUGACGCUGAGACGCGAAAGCGUGGGGAGCGAACAGG